AAGUCGUAACAAGGUUUCCGUAGGUGAACCUGCGGAAGGAUCAUUAACACGUAUCCAAACGUUAAAACCCCCCCCGUGAACCUUCAUCAUGCUCUUGUAACCCGCGUAGUUCGCCAUCUCUGAUAAAUCAUAGCCCGGAAAGUUGUAGUGAUUCAGAGACCUCUGGCUACGCAGUCAGUGUCGGAAAGUGUCAUUGAUUGUGCAAGGAUAGCGCUUCUACGAUUCUUGUAGACCGUACACUCGGGCAGGAGCUUUGCCAAAGGGUCCCCAUGCCCCCUAAUAACCCCACAUUUUAAUGUGAAGCUCAAUGUAAUACAAUGGGUAAAAAAACCGAACAACUGUUAACAAUGAAUAUCUUGGUUCUC
rnacentral:misc_RNA from 1 species